UGGGGGCUCCCAGUCCCCACCUCUCCCCCGCAAAAACAUCCCAGCACACGCCUGGCUUCCGUCUGGUGCUGAGGGACAUCAUACAUGACCGUCCGUGACUUUCAAAAGUCACUUCCUCCCUCCUGUCCAGCUAGCUAAAACUUACUACUCCAGUCCAUCUCAGCUCAGAUAGGAAUGGCUUUAUAACCAAUGGGUUUGACGCAAAAGACAGACAACACAAGACGUGAAAAAAGCAGGUGAGAAUGUUGGCAGACUUGACAGACUGUCAUGGAACCAUCUGAAGCAAUCAUCUGGAUAAUCCUGGACAAUAUCUACCUUCAGAGUUUGCCAUUCUAGUCUCAUUGGAUGAUAAUUUCCAUCCAAUAUUAAUCAAGAUGCAAAAAUAGAUUGAAUAAGUAUACUAUCCCAAAGAACUCCCGCAUAGCAAAACA